AUAAUAUUUUCUAAUAAUAGAGUUUAAUUUUACAUAAAAAAUUAUCAAAAGACUUGUUACAAAUGUUCUAAGUAUCUUCGAGUGCUUCAGUCCUCAAAGAAAAUGCUAUUAAUAGUUGAUUGUCUGUCAACAAACUUGGAACGAGGGCGAUAUCAUUCAUCUAGAUUUUACGAGUUUAUGUUGAUACCUCAAGAAGAGCAGUUAGUUACUAGUUGUAACAAAAGAGAAAUAUUAUUCUGAAUGAAUGACUAAUUAAUCAAAUCUUUUUGAUUGAAAGAUGUUCUAAUGAUACAAGUUCCUCUCAAUCUUAUACUCGUAGCAACAAUUAUCUACAUUAUGUAGUAUCUAUCUCUAAGUAUAAAAGUAGAUGAAAUUGAAUUGUGAAAAUCAUUCUGACUCUUCAUUUGUUCAACAAACAAUUAACUGAUUAUUUUGCCCUUGUUCGUGUGUCUAAAUCACUCAACUCAAUCCCAACAAAUAAAAUGGACUCCAAAUCAAUCAUCGUUUAUGUCGCUCUCUUUGCUUCAGCCAUCGCAAUGGCUUUUGGUAACCCAGAGCCCGAACCUGAACCACAACCAAUCAUGCAACUACUCACCAGUAUUCUCGGAGGCGGAGGCCAGACUCAGCAAUAAUAAAGAAUGGUGGACUGACCAAAUUUAAUCAAUCGAUUAUAAAGUCUGUUUGAUUGUAAUUUUUUAACUGAAUUUUAAUUAAACAGCAUAUGAAUCUAAUUUGAUUAAUUCGUUUAAAUAAAGAAUCUGAAUCAAAAUAA